GACAUGACUCUCGGCAAUGGAUAUCUUGGCUCUCGCAUCGAUGAAGAGCGCAGCGAAAUGCGAUACGUGGUGCGAAUUGCAGAAUCCCGUGAAC
rnacentral:rRNA from 1 species